ACUCAAUGUCAAUUUAUUUCAUUUCUGUGGCCGGAGGAAAGUCCAUCCAUGUAACCCUAAAAACACGACAGAGGAGAGAACCAAAGCUUAUCUUCAAACCAUGUCAAAUCUGCCAUUGGACAUGAUCGCUGAAAUCCUCUGCCGGCUACCCGUCAAGAAACUUCUAUGCUGCAGGUGCGUAUCCAAAACAUGGCAUGCCUUAAUAGAUGGCCCAAAUUUCAUCAAUUUACAUCUCCAGCACUCUAUAGCAACCACCUCUAAUAAAAACGUUAUCCUCAAGAAUUCAGACCUUUACUCCAUAGGUUUCGAUCAACUGAAUAACUUUAAGCAACUUGACCAUCCUUUGAUGUGUUACAAUCAUAGCAUCAGAGUCUUGGGUUCUUGUAAUGGGUUGCUUUGCAUUUGCAAUGUUGUGGACGACAUUGCUCUGUGGAAUCCAUCUAUUAGAAAGUACAUCGUUUUACCCUUUUUGCCGAUUGAGCUCAAACGCUAUCUCGGGACAUGCACCUGCAGGGUAUGUGCUUUUGGACUUGGGCAUGAUCCCGUUAAUGAUGAUUAUAAGGUGGUUAGGAUUGCACAGUUUGGUGGAGUCAAUGGAAAAAUUUUUGAGUCUGAGGUUAAGGUUUACAGUUUGAGAAGAAAUUCUUGGAGAAGGAUUGGAGAUAUGCCUUAUUGUGUUCUUUAUCCUGGGGCGAAUGGGGUGUUUGCUUGUGGAGCUUUGCAUUGGCUAGUGAGCCAAGGUCCUGAAUCAAAUGUGGCCAAUAUAAUUGUUGCUUUGGAUUUAGGGGUUGAGGAUUAUAGGGAGGUGCCGCAGCCUGAAUUUAGGGAUAAGAAUUUUAACAGGGAUAUUGGGGUUCUUGGAGGAUGCCUAUGUUUGCUUGCAAAUUUUCAAGGCCAGCGUGUUGAUUUGUGGGUGAUGAAGGAGUACGGGAUGAAGGAAUCUUGGACUAAAUUAUUUUCUGUUGCACAGCAAGAAGGUAUUGGGAUUCUUAGAUCUCUUAAACCUCUAGCUUAUUCAAAGAGUGGCAGUGAAGUUCUUAUGGAGCAUGGCAACUUAAACCUUUUACGGUAUGACCUUAGGAGGAAAGAAGUAAGGAACAUUAGGAUUCAGGAUAUGCCAUUAACAUUUGAAGCAGAAAUUUAUGUUGGAAGCCUCGUUCCAGUUAAUCCAAAUAGACCGCUUAAAGGGAGGAGUCGGCAUGAACACAAGGAGAUAAAAGAUAGGAAGAGGAGAGAUGAUUUCUUGUCCGAGGGUUUCAAAUUGGUCCUGUAAACCGAUCUAUGAAGAGCAAGAGAAAGAGCUGAAAGAGGGCUGAAACUGGUGGACAAGGAUGUACGUAGUUGAGCAUAUGAAUUAUUCUGAAGAUAGGAGCAUAUGGAUAAAAGCUUAACCUGCUCUGCUACUUGCAUUGGUGGUUAAGUCGCAUAAUUGCCAUCUAGCAUGGGUUCAAUUAUUAGUAUGGGAGAACAGAAAGCAAGAGUGCUGGAGGAGUACUUUUGUUGGUGGUGAUCAAAUGAUACAAGCGUGGUUGAGAGUUCUUGAUGACAUAAACAUAAAUUAGUUGAUGUUUGCUGUAUUUUGCAGAGUGUUGGCUAAAUCCAUGCUAUGGAUAUAGCUGUGGAUGAUACAGGUGCUACGAUUGCAGAGGAUUGUGUUUGUUUUGCAAGGUUAGCUACUUGAUGUGACAAGUGAUGUAGAUUUCCCGUAAAUUAACACUUAUGAGUCAAUUUCAUGAAAUGUAAUUACUAGAAUAUUUCACGCUAAGUAGAGAUAACAAUGUCAUAUUUUCUUGGUUUGCUGAAAGUGUUAGGAUAAUGGUGUUGAAUGGGAAUCCCACUUGGGUAAGGAUUAUGAUUU